CCGGAUCAGCUGCUUAUCACCAGAUUAUCAGGAUAAACAGCUUAUCAGGAUAAGCUGCAGCUGCCCAAAACAGACCCUGAAACUUGCCAAACUUGUAUUGGAAAUUCAUAAUAGUUCUUUAUUUUUAUGUUUAUUUAUAACAAUCAAGAACAGCUUAUAAAUAUGUGUUGUUUUGUAUAUCGGGCCAGAUUUUGGUUUUAGAAUUACAAGUUCCUUCCUUUUGAGAAGGUUGUGCUACCAAUUCAUCUUCCUUGCAACUGUAUCUUGUAGUUGGCAGCCUAGAUUGUCUUUGCCUUAUGUAUCCUUGUGCUUCCUUUGCAUCAAUAAUAUUCGUUUUGCUGUUCUUGGCCUCUAGAAUUCUUCUCAGCAAUUCUUGAUUGUUAUUUUGCUGAAAUUCUACUCAUAUCCUUUGCUGGUAUCAGUCGUCUUGUCAGCCAAACAUUUCCAUGUCUGGUAGGUUAGUGGGGUAACUGUUUUAUCAGAACAUGAGUGAAUGGCUUUUGAAUAGUUUUGUUAUUCUGAAAAAAUUGUUGGCUCAAUUUGUUAUUCCGUGAAACAAUUCUAAAUUUGCAAUUCUAAAACUGCAUUAUUUUGUACAUUUUCUUACACUUGCAUGCUGCACGGGGAUGUUGUGGUGGAAAGAAAUAUGCUGCUUAUCUACAUGUAUUAAUGAAUUUUGUAGAUAUGUUAGUUUAUGCUCUUUAAAGUAACCAGCAAACUUUCUUGUAGGUGAGGUUUGGCGGCUUAAUCAUAUUUGAUAAUGUUCUAUGGCACGGAAAAGUUUCUGAUCCCCAAGUGAAAGACAUGAAGACUAUCAGCCUGAGAAAUUUCAAUAAAAAAAUUCGCGAGGAUAGCCGUGUUAGCGUUAGUAUGGUACCCAUUGGUGAUGGCAUGACAAUCUGCCGUAAAAGGGAAUGAGGUUGGCCUGUUUCAUUCCGUUAAUCUUGAUAUGUUCAGUAAUUUAUGACCCAAACAAUUAGUCGAGGUUUCAAAUGUCUUUAUUUUCUUGUUUCCUAGAAAUGGGCUCAUAAUUGAUUUGUGGAUGA